rnacentral:rRNA from 1 species
AUUGAACGCUGGCGGCAUGCCUUACACAUGCAAGUCGAACGGCAGCACGGGAGCAAUCCUGGUGGCGAGUGGCGAACGGGUGAGUAAUAUAUCGGAACGUGCCCAGUCGUGGGGGAUAACGCAGCGAAAGCUGUGCUAAUACCGCAUACGAUCUAUGGAUGAAAGCGGGGGAUCGCAAGACCUCGCGCGAUUGGAGCGGCCGAUAUCAGAUUAGGUAGUUGGUGGGGUAAAGGCCCACCAAGCCAACGAUCUGUAGCUGGUCUGAGAGGACGACCAGCCACACUGGAACUGAGACACGGUCCAGACUCCUACGGGAGGCAGCAGUGGGGGAUUUUGGACAAUGGGCGAAAGCCUGAUCCAGCGACGCCGCGUGGAGGACGAAGCCCUUCGGGGUGUAAACUCCUUUUCUCAGGGAAAAAGGAUGAUGGUACCUGAGGAAUAAGCCCCGGCUAACCUACGUGCCAGCAGCCGCGGUAAGGAGUAGUACA